ensembl:lncRNA
UAAUCACCUGCAGCUCUAGCGUUUGUAACCCGACUACUCCCUUAAACAAUACUCCGUUUCAGGUCCUGAUCGCCGCCUCUCUCUCUCUCUCUCUCUCUCUCUUUCUCUUUCUGGCUGCUUUUAGAUGGACCAAAUCAGCCGGUUCUGGAGGUCAAUCCUACAAAAGCAGCCUUUGUAUCCGGAGAGACCGUCACGCUGUCCUGCCGAGCUCAAGGAGAACCGGUCCCCUCGGCCUCCUGGUUCUUUAAGGGCCAGCCGCUCCCGACCUCCCCCACUGGAACGCUCAACCUCACGGACGUACAAACCAGCCAGAGCGGGGUUUACACCUGCAUCGUGAUUAACAUGAAGACAAAAGCUCAGCAAGAGAAGAGCGUCACCAUAAACGUCAGAGGUCUGAGUGGGUCAGCUCUGGUUGGUAUAUCUGCUGGAAUCCCCUGUGGUAUUCUCCUGGUGGUGCUUCUGAUUGGUCUUAUCAUUGUGUGUUAUUUCUGCUAUAAAAGAAAAGAUCGAAAUCCCAGAUAUCCAAUAUCACGAGCAGUGGAGAAAGCUGUAAUCAGUCAACCUGAGCUGACCAAACCUCACAAUCUGCUGAGUAAUGGCCUCAAAUUGCCUCCAGACUACAGCCUCUACCGUCAGCAGACGUUUGCAGAGCGGGACGUCCCACUGCCUUUCCAGCCCGCCCCUGUGAGAACAGCCACCACCGUCUAACACCAUGAGGAACACUGUUCCCUGCACUGAAGAUGCUCUAAAAAUGAGGGAAAAAACAGCUUUCAGCUUUGAGAAGAUCUACCUCACUUCCUUCAUUUGGCUGAAACAUUCAUCAGCCAAAAAUCAGAACAAUAUGUUGUGAUGAAUCUUUUUUUUUUCUCACUAUAUGAAGCACUGAGUUAUAAGGCGCACUAUCAAUGAACGUCUAUUUUCUGGUCUAUAUAUAUACAUAUAUAUAUAAGGCGCACCGGAUUAUGUAUAAGGCACAUUAUGUGACACUAGUAAGAACAGGGGUGUCGCUGUUGGGUGGCGAGACCUAUAAAGCUAAGCUCAGUAAACAAAACUGUAAUAUAUAUAAAACAUUUUCUUUUGAAGUUAAACGAAUCUGGAUUUUAAUCUACACAGAUUUCUCUCCUGAAAAACAAGCUAAGAUUCCCAAGUUUUCCCAGCACCAAGGCUGAAGCAUUAGCGUUAGAUGUUAACCAUUUGCAGGAAAUGCUAAUGCUGCUCCAGCACUGCUAGCCUGGGUCAGCAGGAGGCUACAGUCCGAUAUCCUCACCUCUGAACGGCGAAAGGGCUUAACGGCACUUAGCAUGGUUAGCGGCUCUAAUGCUAAUGCUGCUUCAGCAGUGCUAUCCAGGGUUAGCAGCAGGCUACAGGCUGAUAAUACUCACCUCUGAAUGGGGAAAUAGCUAGCCCUCAGUGUGGUUAGCAGCUAAUGCUAAUACUGCUGGAGAACUAAACUGAAACUCCUGUAUAACUCUGUACUUCAGCAGAGUGACUUUACUGCUCCUUAAUACCUGACUGGUAGAAUUCAUACAUAAGGAGCACCAGAUUAUAAGGUGCAAUGAUGAUUUUUGGGAAAAUUAAAGGAUUUUAAGUGCGAAAAAUAUGUGUAACUCUGGUAAGAGCUCUUACAGUGGUGCUUGAAAGCUUUAUGACCUAAAACAUCAUCAGAUUUAAGUCCUAAAAGUAGAUAAAAAAGAACACAGUUAAACAAAUAAGACAAAACAUAUUAUACUUAUUUAUUUAUUUAUUUAUUUAUAGAGGGAAAUGAUCAAAUAUUAAAUUUUUGUAAGCGAUAAAAGUAGUACUUCAGGUUUAGCAGUUAGUUGGAAGGUCCAAUCCACAGUUAGACAGAUUACAGUGUACAAAUCAACAAAAUCCAAGACCAGAGAUCACUCCAUGAACAAGGCGUGGAAUAGUCGGCGAGGUUUCGAAGGACCCCAGGGUAACUUCUAAGCAAGUUCACAAUCAGGAGAAUUUGAUGAAUAUAAAAAGUGCUGUUUGGAAAAAGGAAAAUGCUGUAUGUAUCUUUGAAACAUGGUGGUGGUAGUAUCAUGGUUUGGGCCUGUUUUGCUUUAUCUAGGCUUGCCAUCAUUGAUGGAACCAUGAAUUUGGAAUUUUAAGGAAAAAUAUAAGCAUUUCUGUCCAUGAACUGAAUCUUAGAAGAAAGGUGGGUCAUGCAGCAGGACAAUGACCCAAAGCACACAAGUCGUUCUACAGAAAAGUGGUUAAAGAAGAAUGAAGAAUUUAAUGUUUUAGAAUGGCCGAGUCACUGUCCUGAUCUUAAUCCAUUUAGAUUAGUUAAACUGGGUUCUCCUUUUUUUGUUUUACUUGUAGGACUAAAAAUCUGCUAACAACAAACUAUCGAGCACCGCUGUACCUGUGAAUCAAGUUACACAGCUAGAAAAAUGAAGAGUGUGGAGCUUUCGUCUGUGGAAGUAAAAGUGGUCUAAAUCUGAUUUAAUUGGAAACACUUUUAAUAUAAUUACAUUUAAUAUAAUUUUAAUAAAAUUAUAAACAUCGUCCA